UGGCUUAGAAGCAGCCACUCAUUCAAAGAGUGCGUAAUAGCUCACUAGUCGAGUGACCCUGCGCCGAAAAUUUCCGGGGCUAAAACUGUGUACCGAAGCUAUGGAUGUGUAGAAAUAUGCGUGGUAGGGGAGCUUACUGUUGUAGGACGAAGCACGAUCGGAAGGACGUGUGGACGAAGCAGUAGUGAGAAUGCCGGAAUAAGUAGCGAAAGUAAAGUGAGAAUCUUUACCGUCGAAAACCUAAGGUUUCCUGGGGAAGGUUCGUCCGCCCAGGGUAAGUCGGGACCUAAGCUGAGGCCUAACGGCGUAAGCGAUGGACAACAGGUUGAAAUUCCUGUACUACCGACACACGUUAUAAGAGAAGUGGGGACGCAGGAGGAUAAGUUAAGCGAGCUGCAGGAAGUGCUCGUCCAAGAGAAGUAGAUAGUCUGGUAGGCAAAUCCGCCGGAUGUUUCGAAGGCUCGAUGGGGAGGGAAAAAUAAGUACCGAAGUAACUGAUUCCACACUGACGAGAAAAGCCACUAUCAAGUGUGAAGGUACCCGUACCGCAAACCGACACAGGUAGGUGAGGAGAGAAUCCUAAGACGAGCGGGAGAAGCGUUGUUAAGGAACUCGGCAAAAUGACCCCGUAAGUUCGCAAGAAGGGGUGCCUCGCGAGAGGCCGCAGAGAAUAGGCCCAAGCAACUGUUUAGCAAAAACACAGGUCUCCGCUAAAUCGAAAGAUGAAGUAUAGGGGCUGACGCCUGCCCGGUGCUGGAAGGUCACGGGGAUCUGUUAGCGCAAGCGAAGCAGUGAACUUAAGCCCCAGUAAACGGCGGCCGUAACUAUAACGGUCCUAAGGUAGCGAAAUUCCUUGUCAGGUAAGUUCUGACCCGCACGAAUGGCGUAAUGACUUGGGCACUGUCUCAACAACGUACCCGGUGAAAUUGUAGUACUUGUGAAGAUGCAAGUUACCCGCGACUAGACGGAAAGACCCCAUGGAGCUUCACUGUAGAUUGCUACUGGGAUUCGAUAUUGUCUGUACAGGAUAGGUGGGAGGCUGAGAACGUAUGGCGUCAGUUGUACGGGAGCCAACGUUGGGAUACCACUCUGACAGUAUUGGGUCUCUAACUGGUGGCCGUGAUCCGGUCACAGGACAAUGGCAGUCGGGCAGUUUGACUGGGGCGGUCGCCUCCAAAAAGGUAACGGAGGCGUCCAAAGGUUACCUCAGUACGGUUGGAAACCGUACGACGAGUGCAAAGGCAUAAGGUAGCCUGACUGCGAGACAUACAGGUCGAGCAGAGACGAAAGUCGGGCUUAGUGAUCCGGCGGUAGAAAGUGGAAUUGCCGUCGCUCAACGGAUAAAAGUUACCCUGGGGAUAACAGGCUGAUCUCCCCCAAGAGUUCACAUCGACGGGGAGGUUUGGCA
rnacentral:rRNA from 1 species